rnacentral:rRNA from 1 species
GAUGAACGCUGGCGGCGUGCCUAAUACAUGCAAGUCGAACGAGGUGCUUUUGUAGCAAUACGAGAGUAUCCUAGUGGCGAACGGGUGAGUAACGCGUGGAUGACCUGCCCCAAAGUGUGGGAUAACAGUCCGAAAGGAUUGCUAAUACCUCAUGUGGUUAUCGGUUUUAGAAAGCGAUAACUAAAGCAGCAAUGCGCUUUGGGAGGGAUCUGCGUCCCAAUCAGCUAGUUGGUGAGGUAACGGCUCACCAAGGCGACGACGGGUAGGGGACCUGAGAGGGUGGCCCCCCACAAUGGAACUGAAACACGGUCCAUACACCUACGGGUGGCAGCAGUAGGGAAUAUUGCUCAAUGGGCG